rnacentral:snRNA from 1 species
UUGCUUUUGCAGCACAUACAAGUGCCCUGGAACAAUAGUACAGAGAGGAUUAUGCUGGCUCCUGCCCAAGCAUACCAUGCAAAUUAAUGAAGUGCUCCAUGUUACA